UACGGCGGUUGCAAGCGUUAUCCGGAAUUAUUGGGCGUAAAGCGUCCGUAGGUGGCAUUUCAAGUCUGCCGUUAAAGCCCGAAGCAUAACUUUGGAAAAGCGGUGGAAACUGAGAAGCUAGAGUGCGGGAGGGGUAGAGGGAAUUCCCAGUGUAGCGGUGAAAUGCGUAGAGAUUGGGAAGAACACCGGUGGCGAAAGCGCUCUAGUGGGCGGAAACUGACACUGAUGGACGUUAGCUAGGGGACCGCAAGGG
rnacentral:rRNA from 1 species